GAUAUUCAGGCUGCAAUUCUACCCUUCUCUGAAUUGACAAGACCAAAAAAAGACAUCUAAAGACUGUCUGUGCUUAGUGUGUAUACGGAGCGUACAGAAAACCACACAGCACGUGUGAAUAGGUUGUUUACAUAUUUGUUUGUUUAUCAUAACACCGUUUUUAUCCUGCGUUAACGGGCUCCCUGUUAGAAAGGGGGAACUCUUUUGACGCACCGCCCGUGAGCACCGCAGUUAUUACGUGAGCUCGAGGACAGGGAAUUAGACAGCUGGCCGUUUCAACACCGGGCUAAACGCAACCGAUAAAAACGGGAUAGAGGAGGUCAGGACUGCAGCGGGGUUGAUUUGGAUCGUAUUAGUUCGGUAAAAGAGGUCGAUUGUUUCCUGCAUAUCCUUAAAAGACCAAAUAUGGGAAUGGGGUUCCGAGGCACAGUAACCGAUGCUCCAGACUUCGAUGCCAGCGCAGAUGCUGAGACUCUCUACAAUGCCAUGAAAGGCAUCGGCAGCGACAAGGAGGCCAUCUUGGAUUUGGUCACUGGCAGAAGCAAUGCUCAGAGACAGGAGAUUGUACAGGCGUACAAGUCUAGCUAUGGGAAGAACCUGAUAGACGACCUGAAGUAUGAGCUGACGGGGAAGUUUGAACGCCUCAUCGUCAGUCUGAUGAGACCCCAGGCCUACCAUGACGCCAAAGAGAUCCAUGAUGCCAUCAAAGGGGCAGGAACAGAUGAGAAGUGCCUGAUUGAAGUCUUGGCCUCCAGGAACAACCAACAGAUACACAACCUGGUGGAGGCAUACAAGGAUGCUUACGGCUCAGACAUCGAGGAGGAUGUUACAGGAGACACCUCAGGGCACUUUAAGAAGAUGCUGGUGGUUUUACUCCAGGGAACCAGAGAUGAACCAGGAGUAGUGCAUGCAGAGCUAGUGGAGGAGGAUGCUCAGGCGCUGUUUGCAGCCGGGGAGGAGCAGUGGGGCACAGAGGAGUCCAUUUUCAUUAUGUUGCUGGGAAACCGCAGUGUCAACCACCUCCAGAUGGUGUUUGAUAAGUACCAGGAGAUAGCAGAGAAGCCCAUAGAGGACAGUAUCAAGAGUGAGCUGUCUGGGGACUUUGAAAGACUCAUGUUGGCUGUCGUUCAGUGCAUCAGGAGUGUACCUAUGUACUUCGCCAAGCGCCUCUACAAGUCUAUGAAGGGUCUUGGUACGCAAGACAACACUCUGAUCAGGAUCAUGAUCUGUCGUUCUGAGAUAGACAUGCUGGAUAUUCGGGAGUGCUUCCGUAUGUGCUAUGAGAAGUCCCUGUACAACAUGAUCAAGGAAGACACAUCAGGAGAUUACAAGAGGACUCUGCUCGCCCUGUGUGGAGGAGAUGAUGACCUAGCAGGAGAGUUCUUCCCAGAGGCUGCUCAGCUAGCCUACAAGAUGUGGGAAACAAGUGCCACGACCAAAGUUCAGCUCAGACCAACCAUCCGUCCUGCCAGUGAUUUCGACCCGGCUGAUGAUGCUCAGAACCUGAGGAAAGCCAUGAAAGGCUUUGGCACAGAUGAAGACGUCAUCAUUAACAUUGUGGCUAACAGGAGCAACGAGCAGAGACAGGAGAUCAGACAGGCCUUUAAGUCCAUCCUCGGCAGGGACCUGAUGAAGGAUCUGAAGUCUGAGCUCUCUAAGAACCUGGAGAGGCUGAUUAUCGGCCUGAUGCUGACGCCCGCUGAGUUUGACGCCAAGAUGAUGAGGAAAGCGAUGGAGGGGGCGGGGACAGACGAACAUGCUCUGAUUGAGAUCCUGGUAACCAGGAGCAACGGGGAGAUCCAUGCCAUGAACGCUGCCUACCGGGCUGGCUAUAAGAAGAGCAUGGAGGACGCCAUCCAGUCAGACACCUCAGGACGCUUCAGUCAGAUCCUCACAUCGCUGGUGCAGGGGGCGAGAGAGCAGGGUCCAGCCGACUGGGACAGAGCAUUGGUGGACGCCCAGUGUUGAUGCUCUUUUCAGGAACUGGCCGAUGCCUGUAACGAAGACUCUGACGACAUGGAGAUUAAGUUCAUGAGUAUCCUUUGUACCAGGAGCUUCCCACAUCUCAGGAGAGUGUUCCAAGAGUUUGUUCGAUGCAGCAAUAAGGACAUUGAACAGAUCAUCAAGAAGGAGAUGUCUGGAGACGUGAAACAGGCCAUGUAUGGCAUAGUUCGGAGUGUAAAGAACCAGUCUAAUUACUUUGCUGAGCGCCUGUACAAAGCCAUGAAGGGUAUGGGCACAGACGACAGGGCUCUCAUCCGCAUCAUGGUCUCACGCAGCGAAGUCGACCUUUUCAACAUUCGCAAAGAGUUCAAGGAGACUCACGACUGUUCUCUCCAUGAAUUCAUCCAGGUAGAAACCAUGGUUGGUGAUACCUCAGGGGACUACCGUAAGACCCUGCUGAUGCUGUGUGGAGGACAAGACUAGAACCAGAACCACCCAGCAGGCUUCCAGAAGGCUCUAGAACACCAGUGGAGCUUCUGGAACACUCUAGAAUCUACCGGUCAACUGUGCUGUGCGUACAUCCCCAUUGAACCCCGUGUGGAUAGUCAGUCUGCUCUGUUUGUCCCACACCGCUGCCACUCCUCUGCCAAAAGUGACCUAUGACCUCAACAGCCUCCCCAUAUAGUCCCUGUUCCGUUCAGCCUUCCUAGCUUCCUUGAAGUAAUCACAGAUCUAAUUUGGUUCAAGUGAUUUUAGGGUGCUAACCUUGCUGUACUUACACGUAUCACUAACUAAUGAUGCAUUUGUAAAGAAGUGGAACAGGAGCCAAAGCUCUGUGCUGUCACCUCCGUGUCAGCUAGCCUGUCUUCUUCAUGUCAAAUCUUUCUUCUUCUUCUUUUUUUUACAGAACUUCUGUAGUGUUAGCGGUAUUUACAUUGAAAGUGAGAGAUAGGAAACUGCUUGCCUAUGUGUCUAACUGUCAACCUUUUUUUUUGUAUAGCGCUUCUACAGUGCGAUAGGUCAAUAGGUCAUCCAUCCAAUGAAUACUGUAUGGUUUUGGGCACGUUACAUUGUUUCGCCUGAUAAUUAAAGGGAUGCGUCGUAGUACUGUA